GGACCGGGGAGGUUCGUGGGUCGUGCCGUGGCUCAGGCGGGUCCAGUUCCCUGGAGCGGGUGGCUGCUGACACGCGUGUGCACGCCUGGGAACACCUCCCGGUGGUGGUGCUUCAGGCGCGGGGAUCAAGAGUCAGACUCAGGAACAUGACUCGAGGCUGGAGGGCCUUAAGAGUCCAGCCUGCUGCAGGCUCCUAAAGCCCUUGGGCACCAAGUAGCUUGCACAGUCUAGUGACGGGGAACUUGCCACCUACUGAGCUGGCCUAGUUUUCCCUGGACAUCGCGGCCUGUUGGAUGCAACAGCUCUUAGAAUGCAAACAAGAGCUGUCACUGACGCACAAAGCGCCUACUGUGUGCCGGGCAUUGUGCUUACAGAAAGAUAUAGUGGGAAGCCUUAUACUGAAAUAUAAUAUGUGAGUGAAUAUUGGAUAAAGGUUUUAAAAAAGCAGGAAUAGCAAAGAACCCAGAGGUACCCACAUAGCCACCAGUUGAGAACCGGUUUAGUGAAGCACAUUACAUCUCCGUGGAAUGCGAUUCUUCUAUUAGAAGAAAUAUGGGAAAGAAGCAGACCCACAUCUACUGAUAAACAUAUGUAUCAUAUGUAACUUAUUGGAAACAAACUCCAAGCACGCAGCAAAGGCUGAAAGAGGGAAAGGUUGCUCAGAAAACUUCACCCACACGCUGUACCCUGAACUUUUAAAGGAUGGAUGAAACUCCCCAUUUCCAGGCACUUCGUAGCAUCCCAAACAUGAAGGAAGCCGUCUGUGGCACAGAACAUCGGGCGCUUGUCAGCCACUUAAAUGGAACUAGCCUGGUUGCCGAUCUCAAAGUCUCAAGCGACUGGUUCCCCUGCGUCUCCCUCAGUGGAUCCCCUGUCUCCCUUGGGAGCCGGGAAUGUCAGCUGAGUGGAGGCCAGGGCUCGCUUUCGGAGGCCUCUCCUUGGAUGCCAGGGACUGAGGAAGGCUGUGGGCACCUGUGAGAGUCUAGGCUGAGGCUGCACUUCAGCGGCUUCUCAAAGGCCCGCGUGUCUGGAAUCAGACCCCGACAGCCCAAUUGAGUAUCCGUGAGGAGCAUCUCUCUCUGCCUCUGACUCCCAGCCUGCUUCUUCAGGCCGCCCUGGCCUCAGUGAGGCAGGGGGCAUUCUAACUCCCUUCUAACUUCAUCAAUCUCACGGAACCCGAUGCUCACCACCACAAGAGUCAUCCUGGCGAAGAGGAUGUGACAUCCAAGGGCGACCACAGGGCCUCUCUCUCAACACUCGUGAGAACCAGAUUCUUCCCCCUGGUCUGGAGCUCCCAGCAGAGUUCUGGAAGCUGAUGAAAGAGAACAUCAGAAAUAAUAGAUCACUUGCCCACGGAGACACCAGCUGCAGUGUUUUUGGGAGAGGCUUGUGUGAAGAGGAACUAUGGUUUCCUGCAAAGAACUGACUGAGCUUGGAAGUGACUUCCCCAGCCCUAUCCCUUGGCUUCAGCUAACUGAAGCCCCAGCUGACAUCCAGACAGCAAGACCUGCUACCUCUUAACCUGCUUCCAAAUACUUGGCCCAUGGAAACUGUGAGAUAAGCGAUAUUUUUGUUUGCAGUCCUUCAACUUUGGGAUAAUUUAUUAUGUGGCAAUAGAGAGGAUUCAGAGGGUAAAAGCACUGAGCAGCCACAUAGUCGGGGCUGGAGAGUAGGCAGCACAGUAGGUCUGGAAUUCAGGAGAGAGGUCGGCUGCAGGUGUGGAUGUGGGCAUCUUUUGGCUUAGAGACCAUCAUGGAAUCCAUAGAGCCAGUCCACAGAGGUGUAGAUGGAGGCAAGCGAAUGGCGGAGCAAACAGGAGCAUCUGCAUGAGUCUGGGAGGAGGAGCUGCAGAGGAAGAGGGGAAACCAGCACAGGGUCUGGAAGAGACUGUCUUCCUCCAGGAGGUGUGGUCAGUAGCGUUACUGCAGUGAGGCCUGAGGUGGGAGAUCCGGGGAGUUUCUUUUGGAUUCAGCGACAAGGAGAUUUCUGGGGGCCCCUCACAAGCUAUUUAGGUGGAGAGGUGGGCCCUGAGGCCAGAUUGAAUGUUGUGGGUUGGAGAGUAAAGUGUAAACACUUUCUACCCCCAAACUCUAAACCAAGAUGGUUUAUAGGAGAAUCCUUUAGAAAAUCCAACCUACAGAAUAUCCCAGUCUUACAAAAGCUGCUCUAGUGAAUAGACACCCAUUACUAAACUUAUUUUAUGAGGCUUUUGUAGCUUUGAUAGCAAAACCAGACAAAGAGAGAAUAAGAAAGGAAAAUAGGUAUAUCAAGAUAUGGAUGCAAAAACCCUAAAUAAAACAUUAGCAAAUGGAAUCCAGCACCAUAUUGAAAAAAUAACACUUCAUCAGCUAUAUUUAUUCCAGGAAUGCAUGGAUGGUUUAAUAUUAAUAAAAUCCGUAAUUGUAAUUCAUUACAUUAGUGGAAAAUUCAUUACAUCACAUUUGAUAAAAUUCAACACCUAUUCAUAAUAAAGCAGUGCUUUAUAAGGAAUAAAAAUAGUGUUUCCUUACACCAAUAAAGGGCAUCUAUCAAAAAUCUACAACAAACAGCAUAUUUAAUGGUGGCAUAUUAGAGACAAUCAAGAACAAGAGAGAAAUGCCCACUCAUCACUUCUACUCAGCCUUGUGCUGAACAUUUUAGUCAAUGCAGUAAAAUAAGGAAAAGGAAAUAAAGGCUGGGCAGGAAGGUAUCAAAUGUUAUUGCUUAUAGACUCUAUAAUUAUUUACACAGAAAAUUCAAGAGAGCCAAUAAACUUGUUAGAAUUAAAAAGGAGUUCCAGUUUGCUGAAUACAAGAUUAUUGUAUAAAAACCAACCACAUUUCAAUAACCAUCAAUACAUUAUGAAAUGUAAAUUUUAAAAUAUAACUUACAAUAGCAAUAAAAACCUUUUGAGAUCUGUAGGAAUAGUUCUGAGAAAACUACUGAUGAAGUUAAUUCCUUUGAGUUUUUAGUUGCAGAUAUUGAAGGGAAACGACUCUUUCAAGGACACCAGUAAGCUGGGGCAGUUCUGGGUUUUCAGUGGUACCAAAUCCUGGAUAUCUGAGUGUUGGGGUAUUUUGGUUAUCAUCUUUCUUUUGUAAAAAACAAAACUCAUAGUUUUCUGAUUAUAAAUUCCAUUUCCAUGUAUUCUAGACAAUACAGAAAGUUUAGAAGAACAUUAAGAAGUAAUCAGUCACUAGCAUUUCCAUCCUCCUACCUAGAGACCUAUGAUCAAUGAUUUGGUGUAUUUCCUUCAGAAAUUUUGUGUUGUAUAUUUAUGUUUUCAAAAAUAAAAUUAGGACUCUACCCUGUA